rnacentral:lncRNA from 1 species
CUUUUUCAGCUGCCCAGUCUUGUAAUUUUCCAAAGGAAAUAACGCCUGAAAACGGUGGUUCCCCGGCUACUGAUUCUAUACUUCGGACUCUUAUAUUUAUUAACACUAAUACAGCAUUUAACCUAAAAUUUAUAAGUGGUGGUGUCACCGUUAAAGAUACAACGAUAUCAGACUUUAUCUGUCAACAGCAAGAUAAAGACUUCUAUCUUCUAAAGU